rnacentral:lncRNA from 1 species
CAGAAAAACAAUUCUAUUGUGGCACAUUGUGAAUAACGUAGAUAAAGGAACAAGAGAAACAGAUAUACAGGAAAUUAGAGCUAAUAUCAAAAUAAAGCAUAUCUAACCAACCAAUGAAUAAUAGCAAAAAUAUGAUGUAAAAGUAAAGCAAAAAAUCCUUCCAGUAUGAAGGAAAAACCAAUCUCCAAAAAUGAAAAUCACUAAAACAGCCAAUUACAACGUCAUAACAAUUAGAUGAGUUCACAUCAGUCGUCGAGAUUGUAGAGUAUCUUCUUAAAAGACUAAAAUUGAAAGACCUAAAAAUAUCACAAACAAACACAUUUAGGAUAUAAAAACCACCUCCCUUCAGCUUUAAGUGGAUAUUCCCUCGAUCGAUCGAAACUUAAAUACCAAUAUGCAAAAAACAUACUCGUGAAAAAAAUCCGAAUACUCUACCACAGAAGUUAUUUUAAUACGAACAUAUAUACACGCGUUAAUAAGAUAAAAAAUGUUCUACAGAGAGAGAGAGUACCGAUGUGAAGGAAACUGAAACGUCGGCCAAGGGUUUCUGCGUGAAGGAAACUUCGAACCUACCCCUUUCCUUCAAUUUGCAGCAAAACAGAACAGAACUACAGAUAUCGAUAUAUAUGUAUAAUUUUUUGCUUUUCAAAUCGAUUUUAGCCCUUGUUUGACAAGAAUUAAAAAUUUAACACAGUUUUCUUUAAAAAAAAUAAUAAAAAAAAUACUAUUUUAUAAUACAUUUUACCAAAAUUUUUCUUUAUAACGCGUGUGAAACAAGGGUUUAAAGAGACGUGGCCGAUAAACUUUUCAUACCAAUACUUGAAGAAAAAUUAUAUAUUAAUCUGCGUGCUAAUCAGACCAUAAAUUGCGGGAUUUUAAAGUUUUUGGGUAGUAGAGGGGCUUUGGUGCGGGGCGCGCGUCGGUUGGGAUUUGGGUUGAGUUAGACUCCUUUUCUCUAUCAUAAAAUUAAGUUGAUCUUUG